CCAUGGCAUGUCCGUGAAUCGUAAAGUCCACUGGAAUGUGGCAGCGNUNNNUNNNNUCUUUGGGUCAGAGAGGGUGAAAACCCCGUUUACAUUCAUUGUGGGGCGUGUCUGUUGUGUGGGCGUGUUGAAGAGUCGGAUUGUUUGGGAAUGCAAUCCAAAACGGGUGGUAAAUUCCAUCCAAGACUAAAUAUUAGCAAGAGACCGAUAGCGAACAAGUACCGUGAGGGAAAGAUGAAAAGCACUCUGAAGAGAGAGUGAAAUAGUACGUGAAAUUGCUGAAAGGGAAACGCUUGAGACGAUUGUUGCUCUUGGUUGAAUCAGUUUCGGCUGCUCUUUAACCUUGUUGGCAAGUCAGCAGCAUUUUCGAGUGGGAUUGACGCUUUUCAAGAAAGUAUUUUUUUUUCGCGGGUGUGUUAUAGCUUGAAUUUCUCGCNGUGGGGGGGGAGAGUGAUGACUGCUUGGCUCUUUUACUUGUAGGUUGUGUGUUUGUUUUGGCANNUAAAAGCCUUNUCUGAACCUCCCCGAGANAGGAUUGGCUAGCUAUGCACUGCCCGGUGGCUUGACGA
rnacentral:rRNA from 1 species